AAGAAAAGGAUGUCAGACACAUCUAGAUAAUAUCCCAGGAGAACAAUGUCUCAGAGAAAUCCAAAAUAGUGUACUGACAAGUACUGCCCAUAUCCUUAGAAAAACCUUAAACUCAAUCAAUUUAAAUGAUAUUUUGCUUCAAACC